GAUGAACGCUAGCGGCAGGCCUAACACAUGCAAGUCGAGGGAGAGGUUACCUUCGGGUAACCAAAACCGGCGCACGGGUGCGUAACGCGUAUACAAUCUGCCUUUCACAUAGGGAUAGCCCGAAGAAAUUUGGAUUAAUACCUAAUGGUAUAUAAGAGCGGCAUCGUUUUUAUAUUAAAGCUACGGUGGUGAAAGAUGAGUAUGCGUUCUAUUAGCUAGUUGGAGAGGUAACGGCUCCCCAAGGCGACGAUAGAUAGGGGUUCUGAGAGGGAUGUCCCCCACACUGGUACUGAGAUACGGACCAGACUCCUACGGGAGGCAGCAGUGAGGAAUAUUGGACAAUGGUCGGAAGACUGAUCCAGCCAUGCCGCGUGCAGGAUGAAGGUCCUAUGGAUUGUAAACUGCUUUUGUAAGGGAAGAAUAAGGAGUACGUGUACUUUGAUGACGGUACCUUACGAAUAAGCAUCGGCUAACUCCGUGCCAGCAGCCGCGGUAAUACGGAGGAUGCGAGCGUUAUCCGGAAUCAUUGGGUUUAAAGGGUCCGUAGGCGGGCUGAUAAGUCAGAGGUGAAAGCGCUUAGCUCAACUAAGCAACUGCCUUUGAAACUGUCAGUCUUGAAUGAUUGUGAAGUAGUUGGAAUGUGUAGUGUAGCGGUGAAAUGCUUAGAUAUUACACAGAACACCGAUAGCGAAUGCAUAUUACUAACAAUUUAUUGACGCUGAUGGACGAAAGCGUGGGGAGCAAACAGG
rnacentral:rRNA from 1 species